GUUCAUAAUACCGUGGAUUGUGCUCAUACUAAAAUUGGAACAAUAAAGAGAAGAUUAGCAUGGCCCCUGCUCUAGAUGGCAUGCAAAUUCAUGAAGUGUUCCGUAUUUUU
ensembl:snRNA U6 U6 spliceosomal RNA